rnacentral:tRNA from 1 species
GCGGAUGUGGCGGAAUUGGUAUACGCGCACGCUUGAGGGGCGUGUGGCUUUUCCUUUCGAGUUCGAGUCUCGCCAUCCGCA